CUCGUCUUGAUUGGCAGAUGUAAAUAAACGGUGGAACGGCUGUAAAAGAGCCUUGCCACUGGGUAAAAUAAGGGAUGCCGCGGAACCCGCUCCUCAGUCGGUCAACUUUGGAAGCGCGGGCAACGCAGGUAUUAUCGUCUAAAGGGCCGGGUGCAACCGGCCC
rnacentral:sRNA from 1 species